GAUGAAGAACGUAGCGAAAUGCGAUAAGUAAUGCGAAUUGCAGAAUUCCAGUGAGUCAUCGAAUCUUUGAACGCACAUUGCGCCCUUUGGUAUUCCGAAGGGCAUGCCUGUUCGAGCGUCAUUAUCACCCCUCAAGCCCUCGGCUUGGUGUUGGACGGUUUGGUGGAGGCCCCCUCGGGGGCUCCUGCCCCUCCCAAAGACAAUGACGGCGGCCUCGUUGGACCCCCGGUACACUGAGUUCUUCACGGGACACGUAUCGGACACAUGGGUUUACGGGACACGGUCUGCCUCCCCUCAGGGAGAAUCUUUCUAAGGUUGACCUCGGAUUAGGUAGGGAUACCCGCUGAACUUAAGCAUAUCAAUAAGCGGAGGA
rnacentral:misc_RNA from 1 species